GCGAGCGAGGCAACACCCAACAGCCUCGCUCAUUUAAUAGGAGCGCGAGCAAACAAGCAGCGCUCGCUCGUUUGGUCUUUAUGUAGGGCGAAGUAAACCAGAUUCAAUAACAGAAUUUUUAAGUGAAUUUGUUGCAGAAGUUAAAGAGCUUGAAGCUAAUGGUUUUGAAAGUAAUGGGCGGUGCAUUACUUUCAAAAUUAGGGCUUUUGUUUGCGAUGCCCCAGCAAAAUCUUUUCUUUGCGGGAUACCAGGUCAUACUUCACGUCAUGGUUGUCCCAAAUGCACCAAAGUGGGGAAAAAAAUUGACGGCGUACUGACUUUUAGUACGGAGGUUGGAACCCUGAUACCAAGUAUAGACUUUUCUGAACGCAAAUAUCCAAAUUAUGCUUCUAACCUUGAUGUGGGGAGAAAUAUGCUAAAAUUAUUUGUGGAAAAUUUUCCAGUAAUUUUUGGGGACAAUAGUGUUUCCUACAAUGUACAUGGGUUACUUCAUGUUCACGAAGAUGUUAAAGAACUAGGUGUACCUUCAAAUUACUCGGCCUACCAAUUUGAAAAUUAUUUACAAAUACUAAAAUCAUAUGUUAAAAAACCAACUAAAAUAUUGCAACAAAUAACGAAUAUGUUGAAACACGAAAAAAUUUUAACUGCGCCAAAAUUUACUGGAUUUCAUAUUAAAAACGAUUGUGUAAGUUUUCAUUUUAAAGAUUUCAUCUUAUCCAAUAAAUAUCCAAAUAAUUACUGUUCUCUUAAAUCGUUCCAAUAUAUACUAAUUCAACAAUUUGGGGACGUAAAUAGUAAAACUUUAAAGGGCAAGAAAUUAUUAAAUUUCGAGAAUUUUUUCACAGAACCAAUCGAUUCCUGCACAUUAGGGAUAUGUACUGCAGACACCACUUCAUUUGGCCAUGAAGAGGAAUUUUCUCUCGAUGAUGUUGAAUUCAAAUUGAUGUGCAUUCCAUUUGAGGAAAAAAUUCUUCUCAUUCCCAUUUUACACACUUGCAUGUGAUUUCUUUACGAUCUUUAACUUUUUACUAUUUUAUUUUUUAACUUUUAUAUAACUGAGAUAAAAUCAUUAACUUUUUAUUUUUCUCGAGCACCUUUUUAAAAAAUACGGAGCGCAAAACCCGAUCACGUCGGCGGCGGCAAUCCCGAUAAAAAAGGCAAAAUAUACGACCGAGAAUAAAAUGCUGUUACAAAACAGCUCAAGACGCGUCAGUUUGACCAGUGAAUGCACCAUAGAAUCACGGAGAAUAAGCGUAUCAGCAUCGGCCAUAGAGGCAAAUGGGAGCAACCAAGAAGUUUUUCAAGUGGUGUGUUGCAAUCACUGCAACAUCUUUGAGAAACAACUGCAAGCAAUGGGCAAAAAAAUAGAAGUCCUGCAAAACGUUGUGGAAACCCAAAACGCCGCGAUCAUGGACGCUAUAGCCGGGCAGAAGGUGGCUACAGAACAACUGGUGCGCCAAGAAGCCCAAACACACCUGUCGUCAAAUAUUUUCCGAUAUGCGAUAUACCCGAAAUGCGGGCGUUGGAAUGCAAAAUAACUUCUGCCAACAGGGAUAUAUAUGAUGCUGCUAUUUCGUCCAUUUUGUGCAACAACAUAAAAAAUAUUUCAAUGCUGCUAAAAAUAGACGUAAUCAAUGAAUUAAAUGUGGAUGGAUCUCAUGGAAAGGUUGGGCUUAAAUCCUUUCCAAACUUUUAUGGUGCACUUACAGGAGCCAUUGCCAAAAUGCCGUUUAAGGGAUUGACGCCAGAAGACACGGUUAGAAGCGCACUAAAAUUUGAAAAGGCAAAGUAUUUCAAAAAAGCAUAUAGACAAAAGAAGAAAAAUUUUGAAAAUUAAUUUUUAAGUUUAUCAAAUUCAUGAAUUGUCUUUUUUUGUUUUUUUUUAUUAUUUUAUUGAUCUCAAUAUUAACUUUAAGACUAACGAAACCCAAGUACAAAUGAAAAUGAAUUUAAAAAUGAAAUUAAUAUUAGACUUUUAGAAUAAGAAAGCGCAGAAUCUGAAAGUAACUUAAAGACUAACCAAAUGAAAAUGAAUUUGAAUAUGAAUAUGAAAUAAAUGUAGGUAAUAGACGGUUUUAGAAUAUGAAAGAAUUUAAUUUGAAAAUAAGAAAUAAUUGAACUUUUAAGUUAUUGAAAUCAAUGAAGUGCAACUUUUUUAUAUAAACUAUCUUUAUAUUAA